AGGACGAACGCUGGCGGCGUGCUUAACACAUGCAAGUCGAGCGGAAAGGCCCUUCGGGGUACUCGAGCGGCGAACGGGUGAGUAACACGUGAGCAAUCUGCCCCUAGCUUCGGGAUAGCUCCGGGAAACCGGAAUUAAUACCGAAUACGACCACGGCCGACAUCGGCCAUUGUGGAAAGCUUUUGCGGCAAGGGAUGAGCUCGCGGCCUAUCAGCUUGUGGUGGGGUAAUGGCCUACCAAGGCGACGACGGGUA
rnacentral:rRNA from 1 species